CCUACGGGAGACAGCAGUGAGGAAUAUUGGUCAAUGGGCGGGAGCCUGAACCAGCCAAGUCGCGUGAGGGAAGACGGUCCUAUGGAUUGUAAACCUCUUUAGGCGGGGAGCAAUGCCGGGCACGCGUGCUCGGUGGGAGAGUACCCGCAGAAUAAGCAUCGGCUAACUCCGUGCCAGCAGCCGCGGUAAUACGGAGGAUGCGAGCGUUAUCCGGCUUUAUGGGGUUUAAAGGGUGCGUAGGCGGAUUUUUAAGUCAGCGGUAAAAUGUCCGGGCUCAACCCGGGCCGGCCGUUGAAACUGGGGAUCUUGAGUGGGCGAGAGGUAUGCGGAAUGCGUGGUGUAGCGGUGAAAUGCAUAGAUAUCACGCAGAACUCCGAUUGCGAAGGCAGCAUACCGGAGCCCGACUGACGCUGAGGCACGAAAGCGUGGGGAUCGAACAGGAUUAGAUACCCCUGUAGUC
rnacentral:rRNA from 1 species